rnacentral:rRNA from 1 species
GAGUUUGAUCCUGGCUCAGAUUGAACGCUGGCGGCAUGCCUUACACAUGCAAGUCGAACGGCAGCACGGGAGCUUGCUCUUGGUGGCGAGUGGCGAACGGGUGAGUAAUGCAUCGGAACGUAUCCUGGAGUGGGGGAUAACGUAGCGAAAGUUACGCUAAUACCGCAUAUUCUGUGAGCAGGAAAGCGGGGGACCUUCGGGCCUCGCGCUCUUGGAGCGGCCGAUGUCGGAUUAGCUAGUUGGUGAGGUAAAGGCUCACCAAGGCGACGAUCCGUAGCAGGUCUGAGAGGAUGAUCUGCCACACUGGAACUGAGACACGGUCCAGACUCCUACGGGAGGCAGCAGUGGGGAAUUUUGGACAAUGGGGGCAACCCUGAUCCAGCCAUGCCGCGUGAGUGAAGAAGGCCUUC